rnacentral:rRNA from 1 species
GAUGAACGCUGGCGGCGUGCCUAAUACAUGCAAGUCGAGCGAACAGAUAAUGAGCUUUCUCCUUUACCGUUAGCGGCGGACGGGUGAGUAAGACGUGGGUAACCUACCUCUAAUACGGGGAGAACUUCGUGAAACAGGAUCUAAUACUAGAUAACAUUUGCAACCGCAUGGUGCUGAAGUGCAUGAUGGUUUUGCUAUCACUAUUAGAUGAAGCCGCGCCGGAUUAGCUAGUUGGUAAGGUAACGGCUUACCAAGGCAACGAUCCGUAGCCGACCUGAGAGGGUGAUCGGCCACACUGGAACUGAGACACGGUCCAGACUCCUACGGGAGGCAGCAGUGGGGAAUAUUCGGCAAUGGGCGAAAGCCUGACGCAGCAACGCCGCGUGAGUGAUGAAGGGUUUCGGCUCGUAAAACCCUGUUAUUAGGGAAGAACAACAGUAUAAGAAAAUGUCGAUGUUUUGACGGUACCUAAUCAGAAAGCACCGGCUAACUACGUG